rnacentral:rRNA from 1 species
GCGGAGGAAAAGAAAAUAACAAUGAUUUCCCUAGUAACGGCGAGUGAAGAGGAAAGAGCUCAAAGUUGGAACCUGUUUGGCUUAGCUAAACCGGAUUGUAAACUGUAGAAGUGUUUUCCAGACACGCCUGGUAAAAAAGUCCUUUGGAACAGGGCAUCAUAGAGGGUGAGAAUCCCGUCUUUGGCCAGAGCUGUUGUCUUUUGUGAUACAUUUUCAAAGAGUCAGGUUGUUUGGGAAUGCAGCCUAAAUUGGGUGGUAAAUCUCACCUAAAGCUAAAUAUUUGCGAGAGACCGAUAGCGAACAAGUACCGUGAGGGAAAGAUGAAAAGAACUUUGAAAAGAGAGUUAAACAGUAUGUGAAAUUGUUAAAAGGGAACCGUUUGGAGCCAGACUGGCUUGACUGUAAUCAAUCUAGGCUUCGGCCUGGAUGCACUUGCGGUUUAUGCCUGCCAACGACAAUUUUCUUUGAGGGAAAAAACUAUUAGGAAUGUGGCCCCCUCGGGGGUGUUAUAGCCUUUUAGAAAAUACCUUGAAUUGGAUUGAGGAACGCAGUGAAUGCCUUUAGGCAAGAUUGCUGGGCGCUUUCGCUAAUAAAUGCUAGAAUUUCUGCUUCGGGUGGUGCUAGUGUUUAAAGGAGAAACUCGCUUGGUAUAUUUUUUAUUCGCUUAGGUUGUUGGCUUAAUGACUCUAAAUGAC